rnacentral:rRNA from 1 species
GACGAACGCUGGCGGCGUGCUUAACACAUGCAAGUCGAACGGAAAGGCCCGCUUCGGUGGGUGCUCGAGUGGCGAACGGGUGAGUAACACGUGGGUGACCUGCCCUGCACUUCGGGAUAAGCCUGGGAAACUGGGUCUAAUACCGGAUAGGACCGCGCCAUGCAUGUGGUGUGGUGGAAAGCGUGUGGUAGUGGUGUGGGAUGGGCCCGCGGCCUAUCAGCUUGUUGGUGGGGUGAUGGCCUACCAAGGCGACGACGGGUAGCCGGCCUGAGAGGGU